GAGCUCACCAUGGCCUGGAUUCUGCCGUUCUUGGCACUUCUCAGUUACUGCUCAGGUGUCAGUUCUCAGGCAACGAUGACUCAGCCUGCCUCCCAGUCUGGAUCCCUGGGCCAAACAGUGAAACUCUCCUGCACAAAAAGCAGUGGUAACUGGUACAACUAUUAUAACUGGUUUCAACAGAGACCUGGGCAGGCCCCUCGUCUCUUGCUCUAUGCCACCACCAACAAAGGAGAAGGGGUCCCGGAUCGGUUCACUGGUUCCUCCUCUGGAAACACCGGCUAUUUAACCAUCAGCAACAUCCAGGCUGAAGAUGAAGCUAAUUAUUACUGUGGCGAAUGGGAGCACACCGGUGGCAGCAAGUUCCACAGUGGUACAGUCUAA